AGCAGUCGCCACGGUAACACGUAGGGUGCAAGCGUUAAUCGGAAUUACUGGGCGUAAAGCGUGCGCAGGCGGUUUGUUAAGACAGAUGUGAAAUCCCCGGGCUCAACCUGGGAACUGCAUUUGUGACUGGCAAGCUAGAGUGUGGCAGAGGGGGGUGGAAUUCCGCGUGUAGCAGUGAAAUGCGUAGAUAUGCGGAGGAACACCGAUGGCGAAGGCAGCCCCCUGGGCCAACACUGACGCUCAUGCACGAAAGCGUGGGGAGCAAACAGGAUUAGAUACCCCUGUAGUCCCUGUCUCUUAUAC
rnacentral:rRNA from 1 species